GGCCUACGGGAGGCAGCAGUGAGGAAUAUUGGUCAAUGGCCGAGAGGCUGAACCAGCCAAGUCGCGUGAGGGAAGACGGCCCUACGGGUUGUAAACCUCUUUUGUCGGGGAGCAAAGAGAGUCACGUGUGACUCAUUGAGAGUACCCGAAGAAAAAGCAUCGGCUAACUCCGUGCCAGCAGCCGCGGUAAUACGGAGGAUGCGAGCGUUAUCCGGAUUUAUUGGGUUUAAAGGGUGCGUAGGCGGAAUGCCAAGUCAGCGGUAAAAUCGCGGGGCUCAACCUCGCUCCGCCGUUGAAACUGGCGU
rnacentral:rRNA from 1 species